AUUGAACGCUGGCGGUAGGCCUAACACAUGCAAGUCGAACGCGAAAGUCCUUCGGGAUGAGUAGAGUGGCGGACGGGUGAGUAACGCGUAGGAAUCUAUCCUGUAGUGGGGGAUAACGUUUCGAAAGGAACGCUAAUACCGCAUACGCCCCAAAGGGGAAAGCGGGGGAUCUUCGGACCUCGUGCUAUAGGAGGAGCCUGCGUCGGAUUAGCUAGUUGGUGAGGUAAAGGCUCACCAAGGCGACGAUCCGUAGCUGGUCUGAGAGGAUGAUCAGCCACACCGGAACUGAGACACGGUCCGGACUCCUACGGGAGGCAGCAGUGGGGAAUAUUGCGCAAUGGGCGAAAGCCUGACGCAGCCAUACCGCGUGUGUGAAGAAGGCCUUCGGGUUGUAAAGCACUUUCAGCGGGGAGGAAAAGCUGGUGGCUAAUAUCCAUCGGCCGUGACGCUACCCACAGAAGAGGCACCGGCUAAUUCCGUGCCAGCCGCCGCCGUAAGAC
rnacentral:rRNA from 1 species